rnacentral:piRNA from 1 species
UGAGCGAAGACUGUGUGCCUAACCCCA